UUUGUGUAUUAGCACAUGAUCUGUGAUGUUCCUAUGUGUGCAUUUGCAAAGAACACUUGUAAAACCCACUGUUUCUCCCCAUGCUUAGGUCAUCCAUUUGAUGAUGGAAGUUUCCUAUUACUGUGUUACAUUCUAUGUUCAUAUCUAUUAAUGAUUGCCAUAUAUGUUUGGGUGCCUGACAAUGGGGACACCCGCACAAAUACACACACACACACACACACACACACACACACACACACACACACACAUAUCUCAAAUGCAUUUGACUUGUUGCCCUUUUGCAUUAUGUAAUGAUCUGUUUUUUUUUCUAUCACAAUGGAGUAUUUGACUUCUGCUCUAUUUUUUCCUGGCAGAAGUAUAGCGACUUUGGAUUUUUGUUUUCCGUUUGCAUUCACAUCCCCUUAUUUUUUUUAAAUGACAAACACCAUGUCAAGAGUAUAUUUUAGCAUCAGCUUUAGUGGUGAACACUUUCCUAGUAUGUUCUAGGUCCUAGGUUCAGUUCUCAGACCCACAAAUUAUAAUGGUAAGGACAAAGAAAAUAUUACAAUCUUUCCUUCAUUUUAAAAACUACCUAAACUUAAAAUUGUCUUCUUUGCAGGAUAUGGAGACUUCAAUGAUUUUAAUCUAGAGGAUGCGCUGAAAGAAACUUCUUGAGUAAAGCGUGACUCAAACAAACGAGUCCACCAAGCAAACACAAGUGGUCGGCCGUGCACCACACUCACAAUCUUGCCUUCAGAAAAGUACAUGCAUAUGAGACUAGCUGCACCUCCAUCUACCUGUUAGUUCUGUUGUGCAAGGCUUGUGUCGUCUCGUCAUACGUGUGUCAUCUUCCUUUUUCAUUCAGUUUUUUUCGAAACCACAAGAGAACGUGCAUCUGCCUUCGCCUUUUUUCUGCUGGACUAAAAGAGAACUCCUACCCGUUUCAUUCCUCUCACUGUUUUGUUUUGAGACAGGGUCUCUUGAUUUAGCCCGAGUUGUCCUGAAAUUCUCUGUGCCAACAAGGCCGGCUUUGACUUGGGUCCAGUGCUAGAACAACAGUGACUCUUGUCCACUGAUGCAUUUCUAGCUUCAGAACCCAUGACUUUUUAUGAUUCUUCAGUGUGAUCCCCACAAUGGCCUCAGGGACCAAUACCGAGACCAUUCUCACGAUGUGACUUCUGUAAACCAUAAAGCAGCCAAUGUGUUUUAUAAUCUGCUUCCUUUUGUCCUCCCAUCUCCCUUCAGGGAGCCACUUAGGCACCACGACUAGGAGGACAGGAACUACCAAAGCCCCAUCAAAUCCAGCAG
ensembl:lncRNA